rnacentral:tmRNA from 1 species
AACUGAGGCUGCAUAAGUUUGGAAGAGCGUCAACCCAUGCAGCGGCUCUUAAGCAGUGGCACCAGCUGUUUAAGGGUGAAAAGAGUGGUGCUGGGCAGUGCGGUUGGGCUUCCUGGGCUGUACUGUCGAGACUUCACAGGAGGGCUAAGCCUGUAGACGCGAAAGGUGGCGGCUCGUCGGACGCGGGUUCGAUUCCCGCCGCCUCCACCA